rnacentral:rRNA from 1 species
AUUAAACGCUGGCGGCAUGCCUUACACAUGCAAGUCGAACGGCAGCACGGGGGCAACCCUGGUGGCGAGUGGCGAACGGGUGAGUAAAGCAUCGGAACGUGCCCUGGAGUGGGGGAUAACGUAGCGAAAGUUACGCUAAUACCGCAUAUUCUGUGAGCAGGAAAGCAGGGGAUCGCAAGACCUCUUGCUUUAGGAGCGGCCGAUGUCGGAUUAGCUAGUUGGUGAGGUAAAGGCUCACCAAGGCGACGAUCUGUAGCGGGUCUGAGAGGAUGAUCCGCCACACUGGAACUGAGACACGGUCCAGACUCCUACGGGAGGCAGCAGUGGGGAAUUUUUGGGACAAUGGGCGCAAGCCUGAUCCAGCCAUGCCGCGUGAGUGAAGAAGGCCU